rnacentral:tRNA from 1 species
GGUUCUGUAGCAAAGCGGUAAUGCACUCCUUUCAUACGGGAGCGAUUCGUUGGUUCAAAUCCAACCGGAACCACCA